rnacentral:miRNA from 1 species
CAUUGACUGGAAGGACUCUCCUUUGUUCAAUGAGGAAGCUAGACCUCAUCAACCGGAAGGAAUUCCUUCCGGUUGAUGAGGAAGAUUGAACUCAUCAACCGGAAAAAAUUCCUUCCGGUUGAUGAGGUCUAGCUUCCUCAUUGAACAAAGGAGAGUCCUUCCGGUCGAUG